UAGAGGAAUCUGUUCUGUAAUUGAUAAUCCACGUUGGACCUCACUUAAUUUUGUUUUCAAUUUGUAUAUCGCCGUCAUCAGAAUAUAUUAUAAGAUUAAUAAUUUUCUUGAUAUUUCAUUAAAUAAUAUGUCAGGUCAAGGUGCAGUUUAUGGUUAAGUAGAAAUGGGUUACAAUAAAUAUAUUUAUACGGAUAAUUUUUUGAAAUAAAAAUUUGAAGGUGGAUUUAAUAGUAAUAUAAAAUAGAUUAUUUAUAUGAUUAUAGCUCUAAAACAUGCACACAUCGCCCGUCGCUCUCAUUUUUAAAAUGAGAUAAGUCGUAACAUAGUAGAUGUACUGGAAAGUGUAUCUAGAAUGA
rnacentral:rRNA from 1 species